rnacentral:rRNA from 1 species
CCUACGGGUGGCAGCAGUGAGGAAUAUUGGUCAAUGGACGAGAGUCUGAACCAGCCAAGUAGCGUGAAGGAUGACUGCCCUAUGGGUUGUAAACUUCUUUUAUAUGGGAAUAAAAUGUUCCACGUUUGGGAUUUUGUAUGUACCAUAUGAAUAAGGAUCGGCUAACUCCGUGCCAGCAGCCGCGGUAAUACGGAGGAUCCGAGCGUUAUCCGGAUUUAUUGGGUUUAACGGGAGCGUAGGUGGAUUGUGAAGUAAGUUGUGAAAGUUUGCGGCUCAACCGUAAAAUUGCAGUUGAAACUGGCAGUCUUGAGUACAGUAGAGGUGGGCGGAAUUCGUGGUGUAGCGGUGAAAUGCUUAGAUAUCACGAAGAACUCCGAUUGCGAAGGCAGUUCACUGGACUGCAACUGACACUGAGGCUCGAAAGUGUGGGUAUCAAACAGGAUUAGAUACCCGAGUAGUC